GUUUUCCCUUGUUUUAUCUGGGAACAUUCUCUUUGCACUGCAGGGUAUUUUUAUUUUUAGCCAGAAAGCUACACCACUGUGUGGUGGAGAAAAGAAGGUGUAGAUGGUUGUGCUAACUUGGUGUAGUGCUAUGCAUGUGAACAACAAAGGCAGCAAACCGGUUCUCCCAGAAUGGCUGUGUGUAACUCAGCGGCUGAUUGCUGUGAAGGAUUCCCCUGUGCUCAGUGUGUGCAGUGCCAGCACAAGAGCCUCAAGGUGUUAUUUUUUGUAAAGCAUGAAAGCAGUUCUGUGGAAAGUGUGAGAAAUACCUUAGAGAAAAAGAAGGCUUAAUUCAACAGCAAGCAGAAAGAUCUGAGAGUGAGCAAAGUUGACUGCUAGGCACCUGCGGAAUUAAGCUACUGCCUGCUACAGUUAUUGCUGUUAGAGUGCUUUGAUCUGAAGUGCCUGCCAAGCACAUGCAGCGUAGUUUACUCAGCCAGGCUGGUUGUACUUGUGAGUGGACGGACGCUUAAAGGAGGUGGAAGCUCUGCAGCUCUGACAGAUGGCCCAGGAAACCUUACUGUCAUCAAAGCUGUGGUAAUGUACAUCAACAGAAGGGGAAUAGACAAAGGAAGUGUGCUGUUACAAAGAGCCAGCUUUGGUUUAUGCUGUAUCUGACUGGAGAGGGAGCUUUUCUUCACACCUUGCUGUGUAUGAAAUCUACACUCGAACUGCACUCGAGACGGGCAGAAAUGUAGCUGAGCAGAGCCUCCAGCAGCUCAGACCUUUCCUUCAAACUGUGAAGAUGGCUUUAAUAUUCGUAAGUCGUAAAUCUCGUAUCAAAACUUAAUUCUGAUAUGGACACACCUCGCUGUGGGAGACGUGGCAGGUGUGGUCUUUGAGUCACCACAGGUGUGGGACACGUGAAGUAAUCUGGACAUGUUUCAAUUUCUGUGUAUUUUUCCCCGUUUCUCUGAUCAUUUCUCUGUACUGCUGCAUCUGGCAGGGAUUGCUGUCCUGGCCCAGAGCUCUGUUCCCUCAUGGGCUGCACUCGUUUUGCUGUCCCACCAUUUGGGUUGCACAGGCCAUCCACGUCCAGUGUUCCCAUCCUCCUGGGCCUCCACACACAUGGCAGUUAGCAAGAAAGAGCAAAGUUGUUCAACCUUGUCCUGAAGUUAUCAAUCUGCUCAUCCAACCUGUGCCUUGGUCACAGUGGCAACGUGCCGUUAGCAAUGCCAUCACUGCACUCAGGUCACAAGCUCUGACAGCAGGCACUGGGGAUAAUUUCAGGUGAGGCCGUUCUUCACAUCCAGGCACACAGAUGGUAUCUUUUUCCAAAUGGACCGUGGUGGUAGGCGGGUAAAUCCCGUCGUGCAGGAUCUGCAAAAUAAAAUUAUGUACUACGUACAUAUUUCUCCAGAGCAGUGGUGAUCUGAGGUGGAUCUCCUUUUCUCACAACUGUUUUUAAAACUGGCAAUAUCAGUAAUUGUUCUGUCAUGGGUUGAAUAAUUAAAUCUUGUUCACCAUUGCUGCACAGAAUUUGAUUUAUCCUUAAUAAUCUGCAUCCAUUACUCCUCUCGUGAUGUGAGUUUUCUUCCUCCAAAACCCAAGGGAACCUUUUUCUUUCCCUGUUUUUGCCAGAAGCUCCAAUUGGCACAUGCCCCAUUUGCAGACACGUUUAACUCUGUUUCUGCUUUUUGCAUGGGCCCUAUGUCUGAGGCCCUUUGAAGAGCCUUUGUUGCUAAUUCAAAGGCAACCUGCUGUUCGUUUCCCUCUCCAACUCUUCCUUGUCACUUUGUAUAUAAACGGGGUUAAAAUUUGUCCUAGGUAUGGAAUGUGCUGUCUCCAAAAACCAAACAGCCCAAUACACUGCUGUGCCUCAUUCAUAUUUUAGGGUACUGCAAAGUCUAGAAUGUUGUGUCAGGUUUUGGGUAGUAUUCCCCAAUGCCCAAAAUGCCUCUGAGUUCCUAAAAAUGUCGCUGUUUGAAUUUCAUUAGGAUGAAUUUCCCAGCCUUUCUGUUUCAGCUGAUCCACAACCAAUUCCAGCAUUUGUUGCACCCCUUCCUCGGUUUCCCUGAGUCAGGACGUCAUCUACGUAAUGAACUGUUUGCACGUGAGGAGGCAGUUUGGUGUCAUGCAGAUGUUCAGCCACAGUUCUGUGGCAGAUGGUUGGGCUGUGCAGCCGUCCCUGAGGCCAUCUACAGACAGGAUCUUGUCACCUCUGCCACGGGAAGGCGUUCCUCUGCAGUCGGGAUCGUGAAGAAGCUAGCAUUAGCUAAAUCAAUUACAGCGUGCCCUGCUCUGGAAUGGUUCUGAGCUUUUUCUGUUAAAGCAACACUUCCUGCUGCAGCCGCUGUGAGAGGCGGGGUGAGCUUGUUUAAUUCCUCCCAUAGCCCACCGCUUUUUGACAGGCCAUAUUGGAUUGUUCCGAGCUGUAGUAGUUGACUUCAAAACUCCUGCACCCAAUAAAUCAUUAAUUGUCCUUGAUAUCUCUUCAUGCUCCCCCUCCCCCCAGGUCCUGUACUGUUUCACUGUCACUACUUCAGUUGCAGCAGGAAUCUGCACAGCAGGCAUUGUUACUUUUCCCACUGAAAUUGUUGGAGCACGAAUGCAAUUCCUUAUUCCAAAUUGGGGCUGAGCACUGGGGAGAUUCAGUGUUAGUCAUUUUAGAAUGCCCAUCCCUGUGAUAUAUUUUGGGGUGGGGACAGUCAUCACAGGAUGCAGUCGUUGUGGGAGGUUUCCUAUUCUCAUUUCUAUUUGUGUUUGUACAGCUUCAGUUUGUUUCCCUCCCAACCCUAUAAUAAUUACCAGAUGUCCUUCAUGUUUCUUGGGGUUCCCAUAUGUUAAGGAGGCCUCUGUUCCAGGGUCAUUUAAGGCUCUUACAGUUUGCGAUGACCUGUUUUUCCAAAAUAUUUGGAGCUCCCUCAGAGCAGGAAUUCAGGAAUUGGAAAGCCAUCCAUCUUAUUGUGAGGCAUCCUGUCUUGUAAUAAAGCUGUAAACACUUCUUUUCAAGAAAUCCCAUUUUCACUGCCUUUCUGCUCUUCCCUCUUGUCCAUUCUCCCCUGCCAUCUCCUGCUUUCCCCUGCCCCAUUGGCUCUGCUCCUCUGUAUCCUUUCUUCUCUUCUGCCCUCUCUGUCCUGCCCUCUCAUUCAUCACACUUCUGUUCUCCUGGCUUACAAUUUCCCUUCAACUUUGUGGUGGGCUGCCAGGGGAUUCUGUUGUCAGCCUGGAGCAAGGACAGCACAGGGAUAGGGAAGGGAAGGAAAGAGGAAGAGGGGCGGGCCAUAGGGAAAAGUGUAGGGGUAGGGGCAGGACGAGUGAUAGGGACGGGGCAGGAGAGAUGGGCAGGAGAUGGAAAAGAGAGGGACGGGCAGUGACAGGAUAAAGAAAAGGGUGAGAGUAGGUGUGAAGGUAGUGGUAGGGUCUGGGUAUGGACAGGAACACACACAAGGUGAGGUGGAGGAUCAGGGACAAGACAAGAACAGGAAUGGGCUAAACGGAAUGGGGGCAGAACAGGGCCUGGUCAGGACUACAUCAGAAGCAGGAGAGGGACUCGAAAGGGGCAGGACUGGAGACAGGCACUGCUGGGACUGCUGACACUUUGUGGUUUAAUGGUGACACAUUGCUGGGUUUAAUGGUGGCACAUUGGCACAGCUCUGCUGGGUUUAAUGGUGGCACAUUGGCACAGUUCUGCUGGGUUUAAUGGUAGACAUUGGCACAGCUCUGCUGGGUUUAAUGGUGGCACAUUGGCACAGUUCUGCUAGGUUUAAUGGUGGCACAUUGGCACAGCUCUGCUGGGUUUAAUGGUAGACAUUGGCACAGCUCGGCUGGGUUUGAUGGCGGCACAUGGCACAGCAUGAAAUUUACACACAAAAUUUACUACGCAGUCUCUGGUGCCCCCUCGUGUGGCCCCUAAUUUCUUCCCAGGGGGCACCAGAGACCUGGGAAUAAAUUUCGUUGCAGUUCUGCAUAUUGGCCAUAUGAGGGGGCAGCAGGGACCGCGGAAUGAAAUUCCAAUGUGUGAAAACACAGAAAAGAAAUUGGGGGUAAGGGAGACGACGAAGAAAACGAGGAAAACUUCAACAAAGCCAGCAAACCUGCACUCAGUGCUUAUGAAUAUC